CCCUCCCGAGAGAAUUCAGUUUGACUGAUCUUGUUUUUAGGUGAAUUGAACUAUGCUCGGAUAGACAGACAUUCAGACAGAUGGCGUGGAAUCAAGCGUAGGAAACAAACCAGUAAAAUCUUGCCUCGUUCAUCUGACAAACCUGGGUUUUGUCCUGUUUUUUUUUGGGGGUACUGACGUUGGAUAGAUUUGGCAGAUGAGACAGCCAACUGCACCUGCUCUGUCCCAGGUCAAAGCAGCUCUGUCAUCUUGGUUACUUAAUUAGCAGCUACUAAUUGAAUUAGCGCACAUGCAAACCCAGACCUGAUAUGAUGGUUAUGUUUCCUGUUCUUUCUCAUGUCGCUGGGAUUUUAUAACUAUGUUCAGGCUGCCAUAUGAAAAAUCUACCUUCUCGCAUUUUCUUUUGAAAAAUUGACCAUCUUAAUAUGCAAAAACGGAAAAGCCGCAAACGACUCAUAUUCAUGCACAUGCUAGCCAUGCAAUUUGUUUAUCCAUGUGAAGGAGAGAGAUAAGCAAAAAUGAAGGGAGUGGCUUCCCAUGCAAGGGACUGCCUCUACAUGUGCUUAGGUAAGAUAGUAAAUGUGAACCCAAAGCAUCUGAGAAAAACAAACCUGGUACCCCAGGACAUUGGAGCUUUCUUUUUAAUGCUAUCAUAGAACAGGCUGGGGUGAGGGAACUAGAUAUGCAUGGUAGACAAUAUACUUGGGGUAACAAUUUGCCCCAACCUACCAUUGAGAAAUUAGAUAGAAAUACUAUGUGAUGUGGAAUGGGAGGAAAUCUAUCCUUUAACUGAAAAUCUGAUCAUGUGCCAUUAUUCCUAGAUACUCUGGUUUCUCAGGGAAGGGCUAGAUGAGCUGGUUAUUAGAACAUGGGAAAAAACUGUUUCUAAAACUUCUAGUCUGGAUACCUGACACAAUUAAGAAGCUUGAGACUAGUACUGAAAGGGUGGAAUAGAAACAUGAAUGCAUGGUAUAUGGAGCUUAAAAAAGACAUCCUUGUGAAACUGGAUAAUAUAGACAAAAAAAUGUGAGAUUUAUGGUCUGAAUGCAGCUGAUAGAAAGGAACAAAUGGAGUUUAGAGCACCAAUGGAUAGAUUGUUGAGCCAGAAAGAAGGUAAAUGGAAACAGAGAGCUAAAGUAGAUGAACUGAUAGAUGGGGACUGUAACACUGAAUAUUUUCAUGCGAAGGCUAAUGGUAGAUGUAGGCGAAAUAUGAUAACAUGUUUGGAUCAAGAAGAAGGAAAAAUUGAAGGGGAAAAAGAAUUAAUUGAAUAUAUUACAAACUUCUACACGAAGUUAUUUGGACAUUCUGAAGUAUCAAGUAUCUCCUUAUGUGUUGAUAAUUCCAUUAAAGUAUUGCUAGCACAUAAAGAGAUAUUGGUUAGUGGUUUCUCCUUAGAGGAAAUCAAGACAACAAUUUUCCAAAUGGCCCAUAAUAUAUCUCCUGGUCUAGAUGGUUUCACUGUUGAAUUUUACCAACUCUUGUGGGACCUGGUUAAAAAUGAUCUUAAACAAAAGUUUGAUGAUUUUUAUAAUGGGGUUUUAGACAUAAAGAGAUUUAAUUAUGGGAUUAUUACCCUAGUACAAAAAAAAAA
rnacentral:lncRNA from 1 species